rnacentral:ncRNA from 2 species
AUUGCCGCGUUGGCUCCUUGGGAUUGGGACAUCGACGGGCCCAUUGUCCCUCGGUGCCGCAUCUGAAGCAGGCCCCAGGCGGGGUUCGGUCGGUU